AUCCAUUUGAAGAGUUCCAAAUAGAACGAAACGCGCGUCCUGUAU
rnacentral:hammerhead_ribozyme from 1 species